UGACCCCAGGUCAGGCGGGACCACCCGCUGAGUUUAA
rnacentral:rRNA from 1 species